rnacentral:misc_RNA from 1 species
AAUGCGUGGCCCCUCUUGCUGAAGUCCCUCUAUCCGCUUUACAAAAAACAUUCGACACUAAUCUUUAUGGUCCCAUAAGACUUAUUCAAGCUGCUGUUCCUCACAUGGCAUCUAGGAAAAAGGGAAAAAUAGUAAAUGUUGGAAGUGUUUCUGCCAUGGCUCCUAUCCCUUGGGCUGGUGUUUACACUGCAACCAAAGCCGCUCUUCAUUCACUGUCGGACACCUUGAGGUUGGAACUCAAGCCUUUAGGGAUUGAUGUUAUCAAUGUUGUUCCAGGAGCUAUUAAAUCAAACAUAGGAAAUUCAGCUAUAGCCAGCUACAACCAGAUGCCAGAGUGGAAGUUAUACAAACCAUUUGAAGCAGCAAUCAAGGAGAGAGCAUAUUUUUCGCAAGGAAUCAAGUCCACCCCUACAGACGAGUUUGCAAAGAAAACCGUAUCUGCCAUACUGAAGAAAAAUCCACC